rnacentral:rRNA from 2 species
UUGAAGAGUUUGAUCAUGGCUCAGAUUGAACGCUGGCGGCAGGCCUAACACAUGCAAGUCGAGCGGUAGCACAGAGAGCUUGCUCUCGGGUGACGAGCGGCGGACGGGUGAGUAAUGUCUGGGAAACUGCCUGAUGGAGGGGGAUAACUACUGGAAACGGUAGCUAAUACCGCAUAAUGUCGCAAGACCAAAGUGGGGGACCUUCGGGCCUCAUGCCAUCAGAUGUGCCCAGAUGGGAUUAGCUAGUAGGUGGGGUAAUGGCUCACCUAGGCGACGAUCCCUAGCUGGUCUGAGAGGAUGACCAGCCACACUGGAACUGAGACACGGUCCAGACUCCUACGGGAGGCAGCAGUGGGGAAUAUUGCACAAUGGGCGCAAGCCUGAUGCAGCCAUGCCGCGUGUGUGAAGAAGGCCUUCGGGUUGUAAAGCACUUUCAGCGGGGAGGAAGGCGGUGAGGUUAAUAACCUCAUCGAUUGACGUUACCCGCAGAAGAAGCACCGGCUAACUCCGUGCCAGCAGCCGCGGUAAUACGGAGGGUGCAAGCGUUAAUCGGAAUUACUGGGCGUAAAGCGCACGCAGGCGGUCUGUCAAGUCGGAUGUGAAAUCCCCGGGCUCAACCUGGGAACUGCAUUCGAAACUGGCAGGCUAGAGUCUUGUAGAGGGGGGUAGAAUUCCAGGUGUAGCGGUGAAAUGCGUAGAGAUCUGGAGGAAUACCGGUGGCGAAGGCGGCCCCCUGGACAAAGACUGACGCUCAGGUGCGAAAGCGUGGGGAGCAAACAGGAUUAGAUACCCUGGUAGUCCACGCCGUAAACGAUGUCGAUUUGGAGGUUGUGCCCUUGAGGCGUGGCUUCCGGAGCUAACGCGUUAAAUCGACCGCCUGGGGAGUACGGCCGCAAGGUUAAAACUCAAAUGAAUUGACGGGGGCCCGCACAAGCGGUGGAGCAUGUGGUUUAAUUCGAUGCAACGCGAAGAACCUUACCUGGUCUUGACAUCCACAGAACUUUCCAGAGAUGGAUUGGUGCCUUCGGGAACUGUGAGACAGGUGCUGCAUGGCUGUCGUCAGCUCGUGUUGUGAAAUGUUGGGUUAAGUCCCGCAACGAGCGCAACCCUUAUCCUUUGUUGCCAGCGGUUAGGCCGGGAACUCAAAGGAGACUGCCAGUGAUAAACUGGAGGAAGGUGGGGAUGACGUCAAGUCAUCAUGGCCCUUACGACCAGGGCUACACACGUGCUACAAUGGCAUAUACAAAGAGAAGCGACCUCGCGAGAGCAAGCGGACCUCAUAAAGUAUGUCGUAGUCCGGAUUGGAGUCUGCAACUCGACUCCAUGAAGUCGGAAUCGCUAGUAAUCGUAGAUCAGAAUGCUACGGUGAAUACGUUCCCGGGCCUUGUACACACCGCCCGUCACACCAUGGGAGUGGGUUGCAAAAGAAGUAGGUAGCUUAACCUUCGGGAGGGCGCUUACCACUUUGUGAUUCAUGACUGGGGUGAAGUCGUAACAAGGUAACCGUAGGGGAACCUGCGGUUGGAUCACCUCCUU